ensembl:lncRNA
AGGAUCUGAUCAUCACCUGUGGGAACACAAACCAGUAACUGAUGUUUGUUUUCUACCUAGGCUGAACUCCUGCAAGCUAAAUUACACCUUUAUUCUUCACCUGCUUUCCUGGCAGCAGGGUCUGCAUGCAAGGCUCCUUCCUCUCCACUGCUUUCACACACAAGUACAAUUGAACUGCCCCUUGCAGAAUGCAGUGUGUGGAGGGAGUGCACAGCACCAGUGUGGGCAGGUGUCCCCCAGGCUGGAUGAGCUGGUGCAGCUGCAGGUAAGGGAAAGGUUUUCUGCUGGUGCACCAGGAAAGCCAAAGGGCAGCCCCAGCUGUGGGACAGAGCUGGCCUGGACUUACAGUCAGGUGCCAGGAAUGCUCUUACAGACAUGGCAGCCCAUACAUUCAGAAGCAUGGAAGAAGAGGAGGGGCAGUCUCAGAUUAUUUCUGUCUAAUAUUUUGCUUAAAAUUGAGUUCACCGUGUUAUUUUCCAGCUUAUCUCACCACCCUUUUUUUUUUCUUUUUUUUUUUUUUCCCUUCUAGAAUGGCCCAUCCCUUCAAGUUUCAUUUUUGGAAUUUAAUAUCUCCUGUUGAUGAUUUCUGUUCCUUAUCUUCUCUUGAUCCAUUCCUGCUUCUCUUUUAGAUUCUGUCUCCUUCAGUCUCCAACUAAUGUCUCCCCAUAUGUCAGAUUAAAAAAAAAAAAAUUUACAAGAUGCUGGGCUGUGAAAGGAACUAGGGAAUGUUUAUGUGGUUGCAGCAGGCUGACCAUUAAAGUGACUUUAUUUCUACAGCAUUUCAGAUGCUGGGCUUGACAGUUUCAUUUCCGAAACUAUUUAUACUCACAAAAAUCCAUAACAGCAUUUCCAUUAUUUCCUUAUAUGAUUUUUUUGCCUAUAUUUUAUCAAGUCAUCUUCUUCUAUUCAGGCCUGAUUUCAGACAAUAGGAAUACAAAGUGGAAAAAUCCUUUCUAAAAGAGACUGUAGCUUUUUAUCUAUUAAAGCAUCUUUCUGUAUCCCAACACAUUUUUAUCUCAGCCUGCUUUUCAGCUUCUCCUGUUGAUUUGAUCCAAUGGAAUGACAUGCAGGGGAGACUUAGAUGAAAGCUACACCUGAAAAGGGUGUGUGCUCAGAGCUGAGGAACCUUGCUGAAGCUGCCUUCCUCAUUAUCCAGCAAAGUCCUCUCGCACCUCUGGAUCCUGAUUGCAGACCAUGCUACAUUAAAGCAAAGGCCAGCUACAGCUGUUGCCUCCCACUGAAAACACAGAAGGAGUAGGUAUUUUACUAAGCUAUCACCACUGGACAUCACAGCAGAAUGGGAUGGAUAAAAAUGAUGGAUUUUAUAUUCUUGCUUUUCUAAAUAUCAUGCUGUCCAAGCAUUUAUAUAUGUGAUGUUCUAUUUUUUCAUCAUUGUGAGAAAAAAAAAAAAAACAACAGCCAAACCAUAACCUGCAGUUUUGAAAAGGAAACUACAGCUAGCAUUAAAUAUUCUUGAGCAACAUCAGUGUAUUAAAUUCUGGCACAGUUUGCAUAAAGAGACCGUGUGGCAGUUUGUAAGAACAUGUGAAAUAAACACGUUAGGAGUAGUCA